rnacentral:rRNA from 1 species
CACGUAGGGGGCGAGCGUUGUCCGGGUUUAUUGGGCGUAAAGAGCGCGCAGGCGGUCGUUCAAGUCGCGUGUGAAAGCCCCCGGCUCAACUGGGGAGGGUCACGCGAUACUGCUCGACUCGAAGGCAGGAGAGGGAAGUGGAAUUCCCGGUGUAGUGGUGAAAUGCGUAGAUAUCGGGAGGAACACCAGUGGCGAAGGCGACUUCCUGGCCUGUUCUUGACGCUGAGGCGCGAAAGCUAGGGUAGCAAACGGG